rnacentral:tRNA from 1 species
CGCCGGUUCGACCCCGGNCACGGUAGCUCGUCGGGCUCAUAACCCGAAGGUCGCAGGUUCAAAUCCUGUCCCCGCAACCA